rnacentral:misc_RNA from 1 species
GAUGAAGAACGUAGCAAAAUGCGAUAAGUAAUGUGAAUUGCAGAAUUCAGUGAAUCAUCGAAUCUUUGAACGCACAUUGCGCCCGCUGGUAUUCCGGCGGGCAUGCCUGUUCGAGCGUCAUUUCAACCCUCAAGCCCCCGGGUUUGGUGUUGGGGAUCGGCUCUGCCCUUCUGGGCGGUGCCGCCCCCGAAAUACAUUGGCGGUCUCGCUGCAGCCUCCAUUGCGUAGUAGCUAACACCUCGCAACUGGAACGCGGCGCGGCCAUGCCGUAAAACCCCAACUUCUGAAUGUUGACCUCGGAUCAGGUAGGGAUACCCGCUGAACUUAAGCAUAUCAAUAAGCGAGGA